UUUGUCUAACUUUGAAAGAUUCCACGCAUGCGCAAUUGUACUAUACUCGAAUAGAGAACAGCAGAGGUGAUGGGUACUGUCACUACUGUCAAAAUGCUGUCAAAUAGGAUAACCAAAUAAAAUAGUGCGACAUAUUUAUAAAAAAGAACUGUUUUAGGAAAGUGAAAAUAUAAUAAUAAUAAUAGAAAGAAACUAAUGAUCUUAAAUAACAACAGACUCUUCGGCAAUGGCGAGCUCUCCAGUUUCUGCCUCUGUUGUGUCCUGUGUGCUGUUCCUCUUGGUCAUGUUGAUAUACAUUGCUACCAAAUGCAUAUGCUUGCAAAAAUUAUUUUUAAUAAUGGACUCAUGACAUGAACAGGUCAAUGUGUGAAUACAGACAUUGCAAAAGGGACAACGAAGCCUUUGACAGUCACAUGAAGGGUUGAAUCGCUUUCUGAUAUUGAUUCAAAACUCAUUGACAUCGCUGUCCUAUGAGCUUUAUUAACAACUAAAUGUUUGUGAGAUGCAGUUGGGAGCACAAUUGAUGCAACACGUUUCCAUGACUUGUCUUUUAAAAGUUUGUCCAACAUGUCCAGGCAAGUUUCUAAUCUUCUCACUGUUUUUCCACAGAAGUAAUUAUAUUUCAGUGUUUUAUGUAAGGCUUCCAAAUGCAUGUUUGUAUUAAUUCCAGCAUGCAAUCUAUAACAAUGGGCCCAUGAACCAAUUCUUGUCCUAUCUUGAAAGUAAUAUUUUUAUAACGGUUGACAUUUCAGUUCAAGCUGAUGACCAUAAUGAGUGGAUGUGAAUGUAACUGAAACCCUGGAACUUCCAAUGUAUGUUUGUU